rnacentral:lncRNA from 1 species
GGGGAAAAUGGGGGAUUUGGGGGGGAAAUUUGGGGGAAAAGUGGGGGAUUUGGGGCAAAUUGGGGGAUUUGGGGGAAAAUUGGGGGAUUUGGGGGAAAAAUUGGGGGGAAAUUGGGUUAAUUUAGGACAGAUUUGGGGUAAUUUGGGCCAUUUGGGGUGAGUUUGGGUCAUUUUGGUUGAAUUUGUGGCAUUUUGGGGUGAAUUUGGGUCAUUUUUGUGUAAUUUUGGGUUGUUUUGGGGACGUUUGGGUCAAUUUUGGGCGAAUUUGGGUCACUUUGGGGUGAAUUUGUGCCGUUUUGGGGUGAAUUUGUGCCAUUUGGGGGCGAAUUUUGGGCCAUUUUGGGGUGAAUUUGAGUCAUUUCUGGGGAUGUUUGGGUCAAUUUGGGGUGAAUUUGGGGCAUUUUGUGGCAAGUUUGGGUCAAUUUGGGGCAAAUUUGUGCAAUUUGGGGGCAAAUUUGGGGCAUUUUGGGGUGAAUUUGGGUCAUUUUUGGGGAUAUUUGGGUCAAUUUGGGGUGAACUUGGGUCAUUUUGGGGUGAAUUUGGGUCAUUUUGGGGCGAAUUUGUGCCAAUUUGGGGUGAAUUUGUGCUAUUUUGGGAUAAUUUGGGUCAUUUUGGGGUGAAUUUGGGGCAUUUUGGGAUAAUUUGGGUCAUUUUGGGGUGAAUUUGGGUCAAUUUGGGGCUAAUUUGGGAUAACUUGGGUCAUUUUGGGGUGAUUUGGAGUCAUUUUGGGGUGAAUUUGGGCCAUUUUGGGGUGAAUUUGAGUCAAUUUGGGGUGAAUUUGGGUCAAUUUGGGGGAAAUUUGGGGUGAUUUGGAGUCAUUUUGGGGUGAAUUUGGGUCAUUUUGGGAUGAAUUUGUGCCAUUUUGGGGUGAAUUUGGGUCAAUUUGGGGUGAAUUUGGGUCAUUUGGGGGAAAUCUGGGUCCUUUUUGUGUCAUUUUGGGUCAUUUUGGGGGAUGUUUGGCUCAAUUUUAGGUGAAUUUGGGACAUUUUGGGUGAAUUUGUGUCAUUUUGGGGUGGAUUUGGGCCUUUUUGGGGUGAAUUUGGGUCAAUUUGGGGCAAAUUUGGGUCAAUUUGGGGUGAACUUGGGUCAUUUUGUGGCAAGUUUGGGUCAAUUUGGGGCAAAUUUGUGCAAUUUGGGGGCAAAUUUGGGUCAAUUUGGGGUGAAUUUGGGGCAUUUUGGGAUAAUUUGGGUCAUUUUGGGGUGAAUUUGUGCCAUUUUGGGGCAAAUUUGGGCCAUUUUGGGGCAAAUUGGGGUCAAUUUGGGGUGAAUUUGGGUCAUUUUGGGGGGAAUUUGGGCCAUUUUGGGGCAAAUUUGGGCCAUUUUGGGGUGAAUUUGGGU